GGGGCGGUAGCUCAAUUGGUAGAGCACUACCUUUGCAAGGUAGGGGUUGAGGGUUCGAGUCCCUUCCGCUCCA
rnacentral:tRNA from 1 species